CCUUCUCACUUCUCACUUCCUCAAAGCAGGACUUAAAGGUCCAUCUGCCCAGCCCAACCUGGCAUUCUGGGCACCAUGAAAGCUACGCACGUUCUCCUCCUUCUGGGUCUCCUCCUCCUCCUGGCUGAGACACCCCCUUCAACGGGACAAAAGGUUCUAUCUGGGAAGCGUGGCACAUGUCCCCGAGCACCUGAAGGCCUGUUCUCUACUUGUGACGUGAAGUGUAAAAGUGACUGGGAAUGUGAUGGCAAUCAGAAGUGUUGCAAUUAUGCUUGUAGCGUUCGGUGCAUGAAUCCUGUCUAAGGACCCUCCGAGUGGAGACUGGGCUUCUCGGCAUUGGAGCUUCGCUUUUCCGAAUUGUGCCCAGUACACCAAGUUGACCCCAAGACCCUUCUUCUGUCCUGGACCACCUGGAGACCCUCCCCCAAUCCCACCCUGGGCUCAUUCCUUCUCUUCUGCAAUAAAGCAUUGGCUCUAGCUGC